UAAAAACCCCGACUUCGGAAGGGGUGUAUUUAUUAGAUACAAAACCAAUGCCCUUCGGGGCUCUUUGGUGAUUCAUGAUAACUAUACGAAUCGCACGGCCUUGCGCCGGCGAUGGUUCAUUCAAAUUUCUUCCCUAUCAACUUUCGAUGUUUGGGUAUUGGCCAAACAUGGUUGCAACGGGUAACGGAGGGUUAGGGCUCGACCCCGGAGAAGGAGCCUGAGAAACGGCUACUACAUCCAAGGAAGGCAGCAGGCGCGCAAAUUACCCAAUCCCGACUCGGGGAGGUAGUGACAAUAAAUACUGAUACAGGGCCCUUUCGGGCCUUGUAAUUGGAAUGAGUACAAUUUAAAUCCCUUAACGAGGAACAAUUGGAGGGCAAGUCUGGUGCCAGCAGCCGCGGUAAUUCCAGCUCCAAUAGCGUAUAUUAAAGUUGUUGUGGUUAAAAAGCUCGUAGUUGAACCUUGGGCCUGGCUGGCCGGUCCGCCUCACCGCGUGCACUGGUCCGGCCGGGCCUUUCCCUCUGUGGAACCCCAUACCCUUCACUGGGCGUGGCGGGGAAACAGGACGUUUACUUU
rnacentral:rRNA from 1 species